rnacentral:ncRNA from 1 species
ACGCGGGUGAAGCGGGUGCUGGAUUCGUUCUGAGAUUAUACGGUUCCAACUUGAUCUGGAUAAUACCAGCGAAAGGAUCAUGCCUUCCUACUCC